rnacentral:rRNA from 1 species
GACAGAGGUGCCAAGCGUUAGGCGGAAUCACUGGGCUUAAAGCGUGUGUAGGCGGGCGGGCAAGUACCUUGUGAAAUCCCACGGCUCAACCGUGGAACGGCUGGGUAUACUGCCUGUCUUGGCCAGCUAGGGGCGAACGGAACAGACGGUGGAGCGGUGAAAUGCGUAGAUAUCGUCUGGAACGCCAAAGGUGAAAACAGGUCGCUGGGGCUGAGCUGACGCUGAGACACGGAAAGCCAGGGGAGCGAACGGG